GCGUUGAAAUAGAGCGACAACAAUAGAAGUGAUUGUUAUAGGUAUACUACUAUAACUAUAACAAUCAUUUCUAUUGUUUUCACUCCGUAUCAUCGCCUGACGUCAUCCAGAUGAGCUGAAAUAUCCAGAUGACAAAAUCCAAAUAUAUUGUCUGGAUGUGGCACUUAUGGAACAUCUUCGAAACGAAAAUAGAUAUGAAUAUAAUUUUCUCUAAGAAUAUAAUCUUAAAAAAAAAUGUUUUAUAAGAUUUAGAGUCAAAUGGUUCGAAUUCAUUUAAUGAAAAUACCUAAUUCUACCCAUGGCAGAAGGCUUUAGCUAUGGGCAGUGGUCCUUCGGCUAAUAAAAAACCAAAUAAGAAGACUUUGAUAACAGUUCCAAAAUCAUCUUCAUUUCUAUUCUCAGUUCUAUCAAUGUACAGUUUAAGUGGAAAAGUUCAUUCAGUUAAAAAAUGGCACCCGAUCCUCAAAAUAACAUAUUCAGCAUAUUUUAAAUCGAUUUUAAUUCUGACCGUGAAAAUGGAUAUGAAGAUGGAUUUCUGGAAAAGCACAUGAUAUUUAUCAUAUAUUUAUGGACUCUGUUUUCAUAUUUUGGUGAUUUCAAUCAAUUAGAAGAAUUUGCAGAUAAAUUGUAUGACCUUUAUGAUGAUAUUGAAACUCCCGACAGCACAAAGAAAAUGAUUCAGAGAGUUUGCAUUGAUAUUCACACAAAUAUUUCCUCGAUGAAAGGUUCGAAGGGCAAACAUCCACCAGUCAUUUUCCACGGCCAAGUUUAAAUGUAACAUUUGAAGAACACAGAAACAUAACCAAAUACUUUUCGCAAUUUCUAUCUUACCUAGAUUCUUCAUUUACUUCAUGAUGAAUAAAAUCGUUUAGUAAAGAUUUUUUUUUGCCAAAAUAUGCUUG